rnacentral:rRNA from 1 species
AAGUGGAUUAGUGGCGCACGGGUGAGUAACGCAUAGGUAACAUGCCCUUUAGUCUGGGAUAGCCACUGGAAACGGUGAUUAAUACUGGAUACUCCCUACGGGGGAAAGUUUUUCGCUAAAGGAUUGGCCUAUGUCCUAUCAGCUUGUUGGUGAGGUAAUGGCUCACCAAGGCUAUGACGGGUAUCCGGCCUGAGAGGGUGAUCGGACACACUGGAACUGAGACACGGUCCAGACUCCUACGGGAGGCAGCAGUAGGGAAUAUUGCUCAAUGGGGGAAACCCUGAAGCAGCAACGCCGCGUGGAAGAUGAAGGUUUUAGGAUUGUAAACUCCUUUUGUAAGAGAAGAUU